rnacentral:tRNA from 1 species
GGUGUAUACAGCUCAGUGGUACAGCACAUGCUUAGCAAGCAUGAGGUCCUGGGUUCAACCCCCAGUACCUCCA